UUUKRRAAAAWUGUCCUGGCUCAGAACGAACGCUGGCGGCAGGCUUAACACAUGCAAGUCGAGCGCCCCGCAAGGGGAGCGGCAGACGGGWGAGUAACGCGUGGGAACGUACCAUUUGCUACGGAAUAACUCAGGGAAACWUGUGCUAAUACCGUAUGUGCYYWUCGGGGGAAAGAUUUAUCGGCAAAUGAUCGGCCCGCGUUGGAUUAGCUAGUUGGUGGGGUAAAGGCACACCAAGGCGACGAUCCAUAGCWGGUCUAGAGGAUGAUCGGCCACACWGGGACUAGACACGGCCCGGACUCWACGGGAGGCGGCAUGGGGAAUAUUGGACKAUGGGCGCKAGCUWGAUCCAGCCAUGCCGCGUGAAGUGAUGAAGGCCUAGGGUUGUAAAGCCCUWUCACCGGUGAAAGAUUAAUGACGGUAACSGAGAAGAAAUCCSGCMWAUCCWG
rnacentral:rRNA from 1 species